rnacentral:misc_RNA from 1 species
UGGACAACAAAAAUCAAAAGCAAAAUGGAAACCCAACAGGCCCUAUGUGUUCUGAACAUAAGUGCACCAUGUCUUGUACCACGUCAUCUGUGAUGAACUCCAAGACAAGGGUGCAUGGAUUCAAAAUUACAAGAGGACACACAAUUAGAAAUUAUAAUCAGAAGGACACUCAUAUCAUGCAGCCUAAAACAUGUCCUAACAAUUUUUAAACCAGGGAAGCACCCAUGACAAAAUAGUCUCAUGUCAUC